GAUGAACGCUGGCGGCGUGCCUAAUACAUGCAAGUCGAGCGAACAGAUGAGGAGCUUGCUCCUCUGACGUUAGCGGCGGACGGGUGAGUAACACGUGGAUAACCUACCUAUAAGACUGGGAUAACUUCGGGAAACCGGAGCUAAUACCGGAUAAUAUAGUGAACCGCAUGGUUCAAUAGUGAAAGACGGUUUUGCUGUCACUUAUAGAUGGAUCCGCGCCGCAUUAGCUAGUUGGUAAGGUAACGGCUUACCAAGGCGACGAUGCGUAGCCGACCUGAGAGGGUGAUCGGCCACACUGGAACUGAGACACGGUCCAGACUCCUACGGGAGGCAGCAGUAGGGAAUCUUCCGCAAUGGGCGAAAGCCUGACGGAGCAACGCCGCGUGAGUGAUGAAGGUCUUCGGAUCGUAAAACUCUGUUAUUAGGGAAGAACAAAUGUGUAAGUAACUAUGCACGUCUUGACGGUACCUAAUCAGAAAGCCACGGCUAACUACGUG
rnacentral:rRNA from 1 species